GGGGAAUCUUGCGCAAUGGGCGAAAGCCUGACGCAGCGACGCCGCGUGAGUGAUGAAGGCCUUCGGGUUGUAAAGCUCUGUGGAGGGGGACGAAUAAGCGCUGGCUAACAUCCAGCGUGAUGACGGUACCUCUUUAGCAAGCCCCGGCUAACUCUGUGCCAGCAGCCGCGGUAAGACAGAGGGUGCAAACGUUGUUCGGAAUUACUGGGCGUAAAGCGCGUGUAGGCUGCUCAGAAAGUCGGAUGUGAAAGCCCUGGGCUUAACCUGGGAAGUGCAUUCGAAACUUCUGAGCUGGAGUUCUGGAGAGGAAGGCGGAAUUCUCGGUGUAGAGGUGAAAUUCGUAGAUAUCGAGAGGAACACCGGUGGCGAAGGCGGCCUUCUGGACAGUGACUGACGCUGAGACGCGAAAGCGUGGGGAGCAAAC
rnacentral:rRNA from 1 species